UCUAGCGCGGCUGGCUUGACCACGGAAAACUGAACGGCGGCUGAUUUGACCGCAGUGACUUAUUCUACCUGCUGUCAUGUCUCAAAACAUGACGUUACUUCAGCUUUCACUUUUCCAGAGUUCAGACAUGACAAAUCCCUGGACCUCUACGAACAAUUUGAGUCCUGGCUGCAAGAUGUUCCUCUGCUCCGUGCUGACACAGUGAACCCAUGGUAAAGAGCCUACCAAUCAGACACAGCUUGCACUGCAUUUGUUCAUCACAGGUAUCCGCUUUCAAUCCUGCCUCCCAUGGUCACAAACAGGAAUCAACAGUGAAAUUGCCUUUAAGGAAAAGACCAGCAGCUGUGAACAGCCUGCAGUGAUGAGGAUUGAUUUCUGCAUGCGUGCCAAAGCCAACACUACUAGACAUAUCUCUGCCAGAUGGACAUGACAGACUAUCGCCUCUACAUAGCUGAUGUCCAGACUCUUCAGAAACACACAGUCUGCAUAGGCAGUGCAGGGAAAGUUAUGAAUGAACAACCAUGUAGAUGAUUGUUGAUAGAGACUGAAAUUCAGUAGAUCUGUUCAGGAUUUUGAAUUUGUUUUGUUGUGUUGUGUUGCACACUAUGAGCUCUGAAGCUGCAUUAUUAGCCAGUAUAGAGUUCCUCUGUGCUGCUCUGUAAGUUUCACACUGAUGGAUAAUGGAGCAGCCUGUUUGAAUUCACUUGAGCUGCAUCAUUUCUUUACUCCUGUUAUUGAUGCACUCUGUCACACACUUCUCUAAGCCAAAGGAAGCUGUAGCACAUUGUGAUGGCCAAGAGUGUGUUUUUUUUUUUUUUACAUAGAUUUUUCUUUCCCUGAAAGAAAGAAAUCUUGUGGGAACAUUUAAUCAGCAUGCUUCAGGUGAUUAACUGUGAUAGGUGGAAGUCAGCUCCUGCCUGUGAGGUUCUCCAUUGCGUGUAUUUGUGGCUGAAAUCCCAUUCAGUGCUCUAUAAUUUUCCCCACUGCAGCAAGACGCUUUUAUUAUUGCUUUUGGGCUUGGAAGCAGC